AUGAGGUAGCCAACACUGUUUAUAUAUAUAUAUAUAUAUAUAUAUAUAUUAAUGGGGGUAGCGCCCAAAAUAUUGGGUCAUAUAAAAAAAGACAAUAAAAUACUGGGACAUUUAAAAAAAGACAACUCUGUUCCACAGAGUAGCUGUUGACAUUAUAGUUGCGCAGGAACUUUGUUGAUUCUAGAGAACCUCGGGCAAAUUGCACAUCCCUGUGGCGGCGACUUUGCAUGCAGUUGUCAUCCAUAUCAACUUUCGAUGCCAGUUGCUGCGCCUACCAUGGUGACCACGGGUGGAAUCAGUGUUCCAUUCUGUACAGGGACCCUGAGAAACCACUACCACAUGCAAGGAAGGCAGCAGGUGCACAAAUGACGCACUCCCGACGCAGGAAGGUAAUGACUACAAAGAACAAUACAGGACUCUUUAGAGGCCCUGUAAUUGUAAUGAGUCCCCUUGAAAUCCUUUAACUCUGAUCAAUUGGAGGGAGGUCUGGUGCAGAGCCACUGACCCGUGCGUGCUGCAGCUGAAACUCCACU